rnacentral:rRNA from 1 species
CCCUAACCGUGCAAAGGUAGCAUAAUCAUUUGCCUUUUAAUUGAAGGCUUGUAUGAAUGGUUUGACGAGGGCUAAGCUGUCUCUUUUGAAAUAUUUAGAAAUUAACUUUUAGGUGAAGAGGCCUAAAUUUGGCUGAGGGACAAGAAGACCCUGUUGAGCUUUAGUUUUAUGCCGAAUGGGUUAUUAUGAUAUUUGUAAUAAGCGUGGACCUAGGUGUAAUGGGAUUUCAGUAUGAAUCUUUAGUUGGGGCGACUGAGGAACAGUUAGAGCUUCCUUUGGCUUUGAAGGGCGAGUGUGUGCCCAAAAUGGUAUAUUCUUGCAGGUUGUUUUGAUCCAGUAAGAUACUGAUUAAAGGAAAAAGUUACCACAGGGAUAACAGCGUAAUCUUUCUGGAGAGAUCUUAUCGAAAGGAGGGUUUGCGACCUCGAUGUUGGACUAA